UAUAAACAUAUUUUAAAUUAUACUCAUAAUCAAAAAUAUAUAAAUCGUAUAUCUUAUUUGUAUUAACAUCUGCAUUCGUUAGAAAAUCAAGUGGAAGAUAUAAUAUAUAUCAAUAUUAUAAUAAACUUUGUAGAAAUAGAAAAUAAUAAUUUAAAUAUUAAUAUUGAAUAUUUAUUUUACAAAAAUAAAUAUAUAUAUAUAAAAUAUUUCUUAUGUUAUAUAAUUUUGAAAUAUUUUUGGAUAUUUUAUGAUUAAGGCAUCCAUAAAAAAAAUAAUAAUAAAAAUAAAUAUAAUAAGUUAGUAUAAAAGUAUUUAAAAUGAAUAUUAAUAUUAAUAUAAUAUAAGAAUAAACAAUUUUAUUUCAAAUAUAGUAAUAAUAUAAAAAAUUUAACAUUAGAUCUUUAGAGAAAGAAAAAUCUUUAGAAUAAUCUUUAGAAUAAGAUAAAAUUAUUAUUACAGGGAGUUUAUUUCAAUUAUUCAAUUUAACUUCAAUUUCAAUAUUAUAUUAUUUAGGAAAACGUAAAAAAAAAGGAUAAUUAUUUGUAAGUAUACUAUUAUUUGUAAAAUAUACUAUAAACUAUAAAAUGCAUUUCUUAACAUGUUAUUAUUGAAUCUUCUCAUUGCACAUAUACAUUAUUGUUACAAAUUACUCUGCAUCUACAUGAGUGUUACAUGUACUAAUAAUAUCGUAUAGAAAUAUUACAAACAGGUACAAAAGCUAAACUACUUUCUUAACAUAUGUUUCCUUAGUUAAUUUUUUUAUGGAUUAUAAAUAUAAUCAUUCACUAGAAUUUAAUUCUUUAUUCAUAAAUAACUUUUAAAAUUAAAAAAUACUAUUAUGUUGUUUAAUUAUUUUGUUUCAUUAUAUAGAAAAAUGGAAGAAAUUUUAUAAAUUAAGAGAAUGGUCAUUGUAAUUUUUAAUAACUUUAAAAUGCUUUUAUAUAUUUUAUAUUACUUUUUAUGAAAAAUAAAGGAUUAGAAAUCUUUUCAAAUGGAAUGCAGAUUCUGCACAAAUAAUUUUUUAAUAAUAGGAUCAUUAUAUUCAUCACAAUGGAUAUAUUAUUUGUAUGGGUAAAAUAUUUUAUUAUUUUUAUAAAUUUGCUACUCAGCUGGUGAAUCAUAAUACUUUCUAAGUUAUGUAAAAAAAAACUUGAUCAAUCAGAUCUCUAAUUUAUCAUAUAUGUAUAUAUAAAUAUAUAUAUAAAUAUAUAUAUUAUCAAUUGUGCAAAGAGAUCGUUAAAACAGUGGUUAAGAUUUUGUAAUACUUUAACCACUAAUUGGCAGUGAUAUUUUGGAUUUUUUAUAUUUCUCACUGAUCGCAAAAAGAAUAAUACAAUAUAAAUUUUAAAGAAAAUUAUUUUUCACAACCAAAAACGCGCAAGCACAAUUUUUAUACUACAAAUAUUAAUUUAUAUCAUAUUACAAUGUAUUUUUAUUUGUAUUAUAAAGAUUUUACAUUUCAACUGAAGUUUGAUUAAAGUUUAAGAAAAAAAUAAAAAUUUACAAUUUUUAUUUUUAAUUUCCUCAUAUAAAAAACUUAAAUUAUUGAUUUUACCAUCAUUAAAAAUUUUUCUAUUAAAAAUUCGAUGAUAAAAUAAUUUCUAUUCAAUUUAAAAAAAUGUUGAACAAUUCCAUUAUAUAAAGUUCGAACAUAUACUAUUUCUUACAAUCAAUGAGAAUACUUUUGCAAUAAUACUAAGUUUUUUAAAUGCGGAUUAGUUCAAGAAGAUUAUAUUAUUUAUAUGCGCGUGUACAAAGUUUAAUUACAAAGAGUCUAAAAAACUGACUUAUAGAUGUUUUUAUUUAUAUAUCAUUCGAUUCUCACAGCACCUACCGCUGAAAAUGCAUUAAAAAAAUACAUCCAUUGUUAUUAUGGCAUUCUUCAAGGUGUACAUGAGCCAAAAAAUAAUGUUUAACAUAAGAUUUUUCUUUUUUAAGAGUAAUAUUUACCCGUCUGUCGAGAUCAGAUUGUGUAUUAAAUUAGAUCAUUUAACUUUAAUUAGUUAAAUGAUUAACUAAAAUAACGAAAUAAUUCUAUAUUGACUUAAAGUAUUAAGUCUAUAUUGACUUAAAAAUAUUGAAGAAAUGAAAUGAUGAAUUUAUAUUAAAUAUUCUAAUAUUAAUUUUUACAAAAUGUUCAUUUUCUUGUUAAAAACUUAGAAAUCUAUUUUCUAUUAUGUUUUUUUCUCUUUAAGGAAAUUCAUGCUGUUAUAAAUCAUGUAGCUCGAUCGAAAUCCAUUCAAUAAUUAUUUGUUACAAAUAAAAAGAAAAAUAUUUACAGUAACUGUACAAAAAUAUGUUCAUGAAGUAAAUUCUUUACAAUUAACAAAAAAAA